CCUGUCUUGGUUCAGUGACUGUGCAGGUCUGUUCUCACAUAGAACUCCUCUCCUUCAGCAUUCACAGUUUCCUGCAGCACUUGAACUCAGCACCGGACUUCCUUGAAAAACAGGCCCAGAGCAGCUGCUGGAGCAGAUCUGGGGCCUAUUCUACGAAGCAGGAUUACUGCUUAGCGAGGUUACUUCGAGAGUAAGUUCAAGGUUUCCUGUUUUACGACGCAGGUUCACUUCUUAGCAAGGCGAGUCUCCAUGGCAACGUAACGGCUAACCUGCUCCGGGGCAGGUUAGGUUCCAGAUUGAACUCACCGAGUAUAAAAACCCCGCCCACUGACCAAUGAGCACUCUCGUAAAAUGGCUUGUCCGUUCUUAGAGGAUUCUAUAGACCUCAGUGCUCGCAUUGUCCAAGGAGCCCUCCGGCACGCGAAAGUUUUCAGGGACUGCACGGACCCACUUACUUUUCCGGAUGACCACCUUUAUGAAAGGCUCAUAUGGCCUACAUAUUAAAAAAAAAAGGUGAACACGAUAGGAAUGAACAAAUGAAUUAAUUCAUCUUGGAAAUGAAUUAGACAUGUCUGGUGCAUGUUAAAAGCACAUGUUGAACAGUGCUAUUUCAGGGUGAUAAUGGCAUCAAAGCUUUUUUUGCGCAUUAUACUUACACAUUGAGACUGUCGGCAGUUUUCUGCCAGCAAUUCUUCUAUGCUUUUGCAGCGGCAACGAUGUUGUUGUCAUAGCAAAGCUGGAUCCACUUACGAGGUUGAUAACCAACAUCGUAAGACCGUUUAGCGAGACUGCUGGCUUCUGCGCUAAGUUGAGCCAGGUAGCUCCAAGGCUACCUCGCUAGGUCGAACUUUCUUGGUAGAAUAGGCCCCUGCACGCGCUCAUAUUCAAACAAUAGGACUUGUCCCGAGGUCUGUUCCAAUUGGAGGAAAAAACAUCAACAUCAUGUUCAGUUUCCAUUCAGCAGAGUUUCCUGCAGGAGUCCCAUAAUGUUGUGGAAAUUAUGUGGAGUAUAAAGCAGAUCAAUGCACAGGAGAUAGGAUGAGAUGUGAGGAGCAGCAUGGGCAUCUUUAUUUCGUAGAUACAGAAAUCAAUACAGUUGACACACAAAGUCUAGACCAGAGUCAAUGGAAGGGCCCCAACUUCUCCUUUCACUCACUUCUAAUACUGCUGAGUGGGUUCAUGAACAUAAUAGUGUUACAAUUGUGAGCUCCCUUGUGUGCUACCAUAGACUGUAUAUAGAAUGGAUGCCGUCUGCCUCCUUGCUGGGUGAAGCCACUCUGAGAACAGCACCCUCUGUUGAUGGGCUGCAGUAUAGGUCAUAAAUCCCGCCUCCGCCUACAAAGCUUGUGGGGCUGUGGAAAAACUUUUGAAAUUUAUUACACAGAACAUAGAUAUUUCACCCCCCUGCUUGUGGUGUUGUCAUGUAGUUACAGUAAGACUGGUUUGUGCUCAAGUCCUCUUUUUUCUGUGAAGCUCCGUUCUUAAAAGAUAUUAGGGGGCUCAUGUUUUCUUAUUUGACACCUGAUGGUGGUCUCUCCAAAUGUGGAGCGAUCACGUCUCCAUGCUGUUAGUGGGUGAGUAAAAGGACAGCACACCUGACACACCGCUGACAUCUGCAUACAGUCACAGGUUAACACGGACUGAGACUGGAGUGAUUCUGCCUCUGUGCCAUGUAUUUUUAAGGUAUCUCUAUGACCAUUUUGUCUGUUUCUCACUGAGUUUAUGGCCCUUUAUUUGCAAAAUAUCCCAAAUCCAUCAAUCAGUGAUGAAAACAAUGAGGGGUAUAAAGUCUGCUAGUCCGCUAAAACGGAUAGCCGCGAUCCGCGGUUUGAUUUCAUUCACGUUUUUUUUUUAUUUAACAACAAAACAGAGUGACAACAACAACAAAAACAACAACAACAAAAAAAUUACAAUAAAAAAUACUUUUGUGAGCGAGGGGAGGGGGAAAGAACAUAUAUAUAAUAAAGAAUUAAAAAAAAAUCUUAAUUAGAUUACGUUGAAACAUAUAUAUAAUCAUAACAAUAUCCAUCCACCCAUCUAUUUUCUACAACUUAUUCCCGUUCCCGGGGUCACAGGGGGGCUGGAGCCUUUCCCAGCAUCUUCAGGAGAUGGCAGGGGACACCCUGGACAAGUCGCCAGUUCAUCACAAGGCUGACAUAUAGAGACGAACAACCAUUCACGCUCACAUUCCCACCUAUAGGCAAUUUGGAAGUGGCCAAUUAACCUAACCCCACAGGGAGAACAUGCAAACGCCACACAGAAAUGCCCUGACCGAUUCGUGCCCAGGACCUUCUUGCUGUGAGGCGACAGUGCUAACCACUACAUCACUGUGCUGCCUCAAUAAUAAUUAGAUGUGUGUGUAUAUACACUCACCGGCCACUUAAUUAGGUACACCAUGCUAGUAACGGGUUGGACCCCCUUUUGCCUUCAGAACUGCCUCAAUUCUUCGUGGCAUAGAUUCAACAAGGUGCUGGAAGCAUUCCUCAGAGAGCUUGGUCCAUAUUGACAUGAUGGCAUCACACAGUUGCCGCAGAUUUGUCGGCUGCACAUCCAUGAUGCGAAUCUCCCGUUCCACCACAUCCCAAAGAUGCUCUAUUGGAUUGAGAUCUGGUGACUGUGGAGGCCAUUUGAGUACAGUGAACUCAUUGUCAUGUUCAAGAAACCAGUCUGAGAUGAUUCCAGCUUUAUGACAUGGUGCAUUAUCCUGCUGAAAGUAGCCAUCAGAAGUUGGGUACAUUGUGGUCAUAAAGGGAUGGACAUGGUCAGCAACAAUACUCAGGUAGGCUGUGGCGUUGCAACGAUGCUCAAUUGGUACCAAGGGGCCCAAAGAGUGCCAAGAAAAUAUUCCCCACACCAUGACACCACCACCACCAGCCUGAACCGUUGAUACAAGGCAGGAUGGAUCCAUGCUUUCAUGUUGUUGACGCCAAAUUCUGACCCUACCAUCCGAAUGUCGCAGCAGAAAUCGAGACUCAUCAGACCAGGCAACGUUUUUCCAAUCUUCUAUUGUCCAAUUUCGAUGAGCUUGUGCAAAUUGUAGCCUCAGUUUCCUGUUCUUAGCUGAAAGGAGUGGCACCCGGCGUGGUCUUCUGCUGCUGUAGCCCAUCUGCCUCAAAGUUCGACGUACUGUGCGUUCAGAGAUGCUCUUCUGCCUACCUUGGUUGUAACGGGUGGUUAUUUGAGUCACUGUUGCCUUUCUACCAGCUCGAACCAGUCUGGCCAUUCUCCUCUGACCUCUGGCAUCAACAAGGCAUUUCCGCCCACAGAACUGCCGCUCACUGGAUAUUUUUUCUUUUUCGGACCAUUCUCUGUAAACCCUAGAGAUGGUUGUGCGUGAAAAUCCCAGUAGAUCAGCAGUUUCUGAAAUACUGGACCAGCCCUUCUGGCACCAACAACCAUGCCACGUUCAAAGUCACUCAAAUCACCUUUCUUCCCCAUACUGAUGCUCGGUUUGAACUGCAGGAGAUUGUCUUGACCAUGUCUACAUGCCUAAAUGCACUAAGUUGCCGCCAUGUGAUUGGCUGAUUAGAAAUUAAGUGUUAACGAGCAGUUGGACAGGUGUACCUAAUAAAGUGGCCGGUGAGUGUAUAUAUAUAUAUAUAUAUACAGUAUAUAUGUAUGUAUACAUACACACACACACACACCCUGCACCGCCAAGAAGCAGGCCGACCAGCACCCAUGUCUACCGUGGUGGGACGCCCGUGGGGCACCCCACAGGGCCCCGCCCCGCGACCACCCACCAUCCGAACCGACCACCUACUCCACCCCUAAAUACACUGGGCCACACAUGACACUCCUCUUGUUUGUUGUUCAUGUGGUGCAUUCAAAACUUCACUGUGAUGUAUGCAUUAAAAAGUGGGGUGUGAAGAGUUGGUGUGUGAUGCGUUAAAAGUCGGAGAGGCAUGUGAAAUGGAACUGGCCCAGGGCAAAAAAGAAACUGGGGUAGAGUGGGGCCAAGAAGGGGCGGGGGACGCGGCCCGUGGCCCACACAGGAUCCCCACAUUCUGCUCCCACCAGGUCCAGGCAGCAGCAGGCAGGGCCAACCAAUCCCAGGACUCCAGGGAUUCAUGGGCGUCAGCCAGCCCGCCCCCCGGCGGCACAGGGACCCGCGCCAACCCCCAAUCCAGACCACACUGCAGCACACCACAAUGGCCUCCGCCAUUCCACACCCACCACCGCAAUCGCCACCACCACCACCACUACCAUCAUCAUUAUCAUUAUCACCAAUCCACCAUCACCACCACCACCGGCACACCGGUCAUCAUCAUUACCCCAUCACUACUACAUCUAUGACCCGGGGAGACCAUACAUACACAUAUAUACAUACGCACACGUGCACACACCCUCUAUGUUUAAUAAAGUACCUAUAAGAAACAAAACAAAAAGAAAAACAAACAAACAAACAAAAACAAACAAACAAAAAAACAAAACAAAACAUUUUCUUUCUUUUAUUUUUUUCCCCUCUAUUCCCCUCCCCUUAAUGUGUUUUAUUGAGUGUGUGUGUGUGUGUGUGUGUGUGUGUGUGUGUGUGUGUGUGUGUGUGUGUGUGUGUGUGUGUGUGUGUGUGUGUGUGUGUAUUCAAAACAUGUGUAGGGAUGUAUAAUUGAUUGGUUGGCUCUCAGACAGAAAAAUAAAUAAACAAAUAAAAACACACACAUAUAUAUAUAUAUAUAUAAAAAAAAGUCAAUGACAGUGGACCCGGGGGAUUGAGAUUCUGUUGUAGUAUGGAGAGGGGUGGGUGUAUACCCCAGAGAGAUGUGGUCAAUGAGCAGGUUUUUCCAAUGAGCCAGAUGAAUGGUGUUCCUAGAUUUCCAGUUCAUGAGGAUAGUUUUCUUGGCGAUAGUUAGGGCCAUGAGAAGAUGGUUAUUGUUUUUUUUGUCUAUUGUGACUGAUGAUAAGUCUCCUAGAAGCCAGAGUGAGGGGGAUAAAGGGAUGCAGCAGCCCAUGAAGUGUGAUAAUGACUCGGUGGCUAGUUUCCAGAAGUGUUUGAUUGGGGUGCAGUGCCAUGUGAUGGAGUGUAGGUGUCAGGACAGUUUUGAGUGCAGUGGGUGCAAAUUUCCAAGGUGAAGCCCAUUUUAAACAUUUUUUGUCCAGUGUAGUGAGUUCUGUGAAGCAUCUUAUAUUGAAUGAGUUGUAAGUCAGCAUUUUUAGUCAUGAGAUAAAUGUUUUUACAGAUUUGGGUCCAGAAGUCGGCAUCAGGAGCAAUUGACAGGUCUUGUUGCCAUUUUUUUGUGAUGGUAGAGAUAUGAUUUUGUCAGAUUGUAAUAUUAUUUUAUAUCUUUUAGAGAGGAGUUUUCUGGGGGAAAGGAUAUUAAUAAAUUCUGAUAUUGCAGGUGAAAGGUCUAGAUUUGUGGAUCUGAUGUUAAUUUUUGAUUUGACAGAUGACUUAAAGGGGACCUGCCAUCAAAAUUUCAUACCCAUUUUUAUCAUUUUUUCAGAAUCCUUGGUGUCCUCUGAUCAUGUUUGCAACAUAAUUUUAGCUGAAAAGUUAUUUGAUGGUUUGUUUCAAACCAUUUUAGUAUGCCUAAAAAACCUUACAGGAAAACCAACUGAUUUUGGCUCAUUAACAUUUAUGUUAAUGAGCUUUGCUCUGAUUGGAUCACUGCUGUGAAGCCUGCUGUGCUCUGAUUGGCUCAGCAGUGGAGGUUCUGAUUUCAGUUUAUCCAUUUUGCUAAUGUGUGCUAAAGUAAGGUGCCCAGAUGUCUGUAAUGAUAUCCGAGGAUAUUCGGUGCAGCGGCGGCGGGGAGGGUCCAGUGGCUGCAGGGGCUGCGUGAUCACAGACAAAAUCUUGGUACUAUUUGGUAGCAGAGCAUGCCCCUUGUAAUAACCCCCCGUAACAACUGUUGUUCAGGACUGCUUACUUGUGCUUCCUAUCCAUUCGGCUACAAUAAUAACCGUUGUUCGAGCCCACACGCAACAUUUUUGUUCUCAUUCAUGAAACGCUUAAAUCGGGGACAGCUUUUGCCGGGGGACAGGUCAUCCCCUGAAAUCGGGGACGUCUGGUCACCUUAUGCUAAAAAUGGCAGGUAUUAAACCAUAUAUUUUAGACCCCAAGUCCGAAGAGGAGGUGGAAGUUGAAGAAGAAGCCGGAGAUCUCCAGCGGUGUUUUCAUUCAUUCUGCCCAGCUUUAAGUUCAUUUUCCAGGCAGUGAACCCAAGGAAACACCGGUCGUUUGGAAGAGACCCAUAGCGGUCAUACAGUGGUAGCUGGGUCUCGCUCCGGCUGGAGAGUGAUUUUGACUGUGAAUGAGUACGAGAAUGAGAGAGUGGGCGCGGCUAACCGAGGACGCGCUUGUGAAUAAUAAUGAGCAAGGUCAGCGUGACAUCAGAGGGACCUGCUUUUUCAAUUGGCCUGGUUUAUCCGUUCUUUUAUUUUAAAACUUUACAGAAUGCAAACGACGUAAUGGUUUGUUUUCACAUUUACAACAUAAGACGAACAUAAUAUGGACCUUAUCUGACACAAAAAACACACAAAAUUACAAUUUUGAUGGCAGGUCCCCUUUAAGUUUUUUAUUCCAGAAAUUGAUUACUCCCAAUGCCGUACUCCUGGACCAAUAGGGGAAAUGAUAUCAGGGUGUUAUUAUGGAAAAUGUGUUUAAGGUGUGUGAUGCCCUUUCUUGUCCAUGUGUGAAAGUUGAGUGCUUUUUUGUUGCAAAGGAGGUCGGAAUUAUUCCAAAUGGGGGUGAAGUUAGAUGGUGAAAGAGUGGUAUUUGUGAUUUUGUGAAAUUUCCACCAGGCUGUCAGAGCAGAUGCUAUUGUUAUUGCUUUGAAACAAGGGUGGCGUUUGAUUGAUUGACUGAGAAAUGGAAUGUCUGAAAACUGGAUAUCUGUACUAUGUCUAACCAGGUGUGAUCUGAGUAAUCGGUGUGUGUCCAUUUGUAUAUAUACUGUAGUUGAUUUGCCAGAGAGUAAUAGCUCAAAUGUAGUGCAUCUAAUCCGCCUUGUAAUUUGGGUUUUUGAAGUGUGGCCAGUUUGAUCCUUGGUGUUUUAUUUUUCCAGUAAAAUUUAGUGAUUAUUGAGUCUAGAGAGUUGAACCAGGUGGAAGUGGGAUGGGUUGGGAUCAUUGAAAAAAGAUACUUUAUUUUAGGUAGUAUUUUCAUUUUAAUUGUUGCUAUUCUGCCUCGAAUGGAUUGUGGCAGCUUCAUCCAGCGUUGGAGGUUGUCAUCUAUUGUUUUAAGUAGAAUAGAAUAGAAUAGAAUAUUCCUUUAUUGAUCCCCCAUGGGGGAAAUUUUUUUUGUCACAGCAGCAUCACAGGCAAAGUGCAAAAAUGCAGUUAUAAAAAUAAGGGUCCUAAUAUUAAGAACUUAAUAAAUGUAAUAAUUAAGAAAAAAUUUAGAAAAAGGAAAAAAAGGAGAAGAAAAAUAAAACUAUAAACAAUAUACACAAUUUAAAUGCCAGAAAAAAGUGGUGGUGUCAGUCCAGUUAUUAUUACAGUUCGUUUUAAAGUCUUAUUUUUGGGGAGGAAUGACCUGCGGUAGCGCUCUGUCCUGCAAGGUGGAAGUCUAAGUCUGCUGCUGAAGGAGCUGCUUAAAGCCCCCACAGUCUGGUGCAGUGGGUGAGAGGGAUUGUCCAUGAUGGAUACAAGCUUUGUUAACAUCCUCCUCUCACCCACCUCCUCCAGGGAGUCCAAAGAACAGUCCAGGACAGAACUGGCCCUCCUGACCAGUCUAUUCAGUCUCAUCCUGUCCCUCUCGGUAGUGGAGUGAAGUUUAGUUCUAUCAGCUCUGACAACCUGGAGGAAAUGUUGAUACCCAAAUAUGUGAAGUGACCUGUGCAUAGAGGAAUUGCUGAUGUAUGGGCUGUCGCAUCCCAUCUGGUGUGAAUCUUUGUGAUGUUAGACUAUUAGAGGUGACGGUGGCUGAUGGUGAGGUGUACAGAAUUUUGAUCCAGUUAAUGAAUGAUUCCCCAAAGCCAAAUUUCUGUAAUGUGUGGAAGAAAAAUUUCCAGUUUACCCUGUCAAAAGCUUUUUCUGCAUCUAAAGUGACUAUGAUGGUGUCUUCCCGUUGUAAUGAUGAGUAAUGGAUUAAACUGAACAGUCUACGUGUAUUGUUGGAUGCCUGUCUACCUUUAAUGAAGCCGGUCUGAUCUGGGUGAAUUAUUCGAGGUGUGACUUUUUCUAACCUACGUGCAAGAGCUUUACUGAUGAUUUUCAUGUCUACGUUGAUUAAUGAGAUAGGACAAUAAUUUGAUGGAAAGGUGUGAUCUUUAUUUGGUUUUGGUUUUGGGAGAAGUGAGAUUAAAGCUGUGUUCAUAUGUAUUGGGAACUUAGAGUUUUGUGUUAUUUCAGUUAUUGUUUUCAUGAAGAGUGGGGAUAAAAUGGACCAGAAGUGUUUGUAGAACUCGGCAGGGAAGCCGUCGGGACCUGGUGCUAAAUUGUUUGGCAUGAGAUUGAGUGCGGUAGAGAGUUCUCUUUCUGUGAUUGGUGAGUCGAGUGUAUUGACCUGAUCUGUAUUAAAUUGUGGAAGUUUAAUGUCUUUAAAAAAUGAAUCAAUAUCCUCCUGUCUUGGGUCAUUAUCAGAUGAGUAUAAUUUGGCGUAAAAGUUUCUAAAUAUUUCAUUUAUUUCCUGCUGUGAGUUGGUGGGGUUCCCUGGUAAGUUCUUAGGUUCUUAAGUCCAAAGUCUGUUCCUUUAAGUUGUCUGCCUUGUCGUUCUACCAGUUCAUUGUGCUUGUACUGCUAAAAUUGGACGAUGAUGGGCCGGGGUUGGUUGGUGUUGGUGUGUUUUUGUCCCAGACGGUGAAGAUGGUGAAAAGAGAUGGUGUUGACGGUGUCAGGGGUAAGUUUGAGCCGUGUGAUCAUUAACUCCUUUACUGCUGUUUCAGGUUGGUCCAUGGAUGGCUUGGGAAUGCCGGUGAAGAUCAGGUUGUCUCUCAUGCUGCGUGACUGUAAAGCCAGGAUGGUUUCUUUCACGUUGACUGCGAUCAAUACGAGUGGUGACAGUGGACGCUUUUCCACAUUCCACAAGAAGGAAAUAUUUGAAAUAUAUCUCCUUUAACACCAAUAUUUUAGUUUCUACUUAUUAAAAGCGUGGAUCAUAGUUGUGGAGACGUCCACACAAACAUUGAAUACAACCAACAAGCGAGGUGUAUAGGCUGUCACAAGAUAACACAGGUAACAUGUAGAGUACACCUGACCUUGCACUGUAUUUAAACGCAUUCCACAAACAUUUUCACACUGCCUGUGGUACUGUGAGUACUACCCACGCACCUAUUGAUCACAAAGAUACCGCAAAAUAAGUUCCUCUCACAACGAAAAGGUUUGUUAAAUUUCUCACUCAGUGACAGCUAUAUUUUGGACAGGCAUUUACACGGUCACCAAUUUGCGUCUUCUUAUGUUUCAUGCUUUCAUCUUCAUCUUUGACCCAAUAAACUCAUUCCCCCUAACAUUCAUGUCUCAAAGGCCCUAUAAGUUGAUACGAUCAGGUUGACACACUGGCAAAAACACAGACGAUACAACUUCCGGGUCACGACGAGCAUACCAAUUAAAUAAUAAAAACAAAAUCAGCCCGUGGCCCAUAAUUCAAGUUCUGUUUAUUUGAUCUAUGUUAACUGACGGAAUAUUGGAAAACUAACAAAUUUUCAUUUAUUUGUUUUCUUUUCAAAGAGGGAAAAAAGGAAAACAAACCUUUUUUCAAUGUUUUGUUUUCUGAUUCUUGAUUGAAUAUCAAUUGAACGAAUGGUACACGGAUUAUACAUGGACCCUGGCUCAUUUUCUGAUUCCGAUGGGAUAAAUGGAUAACGACAGUUUUAUCUGUCGUUAUCCAGCUGUGUGUCUGAUACGUGUCCUUUUCUCCUCAGGUUGUUUUGGGCACAGAACCUUCUGACAGACAUUUCAGAUCACCUCGGCACUCCUGCCUCCUGUAGUGUAGUCAAAUCUCUGUAUGAGUUUUGCAAUCCUAAAAAAAAGUGCUGUAUGGGCUCUGAAUAAUUCUUGGGUCUAGCCAUGACACCAAAGGUUCACUUCCGGGUCACAAAACUUUAUACAGUUAUCAAUUUUUUCAUUUUUGUUUUAGAGACAAAUAUUUAGAAAACAGUUGGUUUUCUCGUCUUUUCAUUUUUGGUUUUAUUUUGAAAAUCAAAUGAAAGAAUGAUACACGGAUUAAAAAAACCUGAAGAGGAAUAAGUGAAGAAAAUAGAGAAAAAUCUAAACAGGGAAAAUUAAGAAGAAAAAGAAGGAGAACCGAGUAGAAUAAAAACAAAGGGGAAAAUCUAAAGUGAAAAAAACUUGAAAAAGAAAAACUUAAAAGGUAAAACAAAAUGUGAAAACUUCAGGGGAAAAUCUAAAAAGGAAAAACUGAAGUGAAAAAAAGGGGAAAAACUUAAGAGAAUAAAGCUUAAGAGAAAAAAUUUAGAGGGAAAACUGAAGGUUAAAAAAAACCUGAAGGGAAAAGUGAAGAGAAAAAAAAACAAAGAGGAGAUUUCAAAGAGGGAAAACUGUGGAGAAAAAAAAACAAGAAGGGAAAAUUGAAAAGGAAAAGGAAAAACUGAAGUGAAAACAAUGAGGAGGAAAAAUGUACAGGACUACAUUAAGUUCUGUUUGGGAACUGCAUCUGUGGACAAAGUCAUCCAGGUAUAUCCCAACCAGAAACCAGCCAGGUCUACUCAUUCCUUAAAGCCCGCUUUCAGGUCAGGUGACAAAGCUCUCUACAGUGUGGCUCGAACUGACCUGAAGAAAGGGAUUAAAAAUGCCAAAGUGGACUACAAGAGGAGGAUAGAGUCCCGUCUUGCCAGCAACAUGGGGAGGUGUGGCAGGGUCUUCAGGACAUCACUAACUUCAAGCUGUGAUGUGACGUCAGGAGACCUGAGUAUGUAGCUGGCAGAGGAGGUCAACAGCUUCUUUGCCCGUUUGAAACACCACCGCAAUGACACUCCUCUUCUGCUCCAGCCCUGCCCCUGCCCCUGGCCCUAUCGAAGUACCUGUAAAGGCGCUCAGAGCAUGUGCCCACCAGCUGUCCCACAUCUUUUGCAGGAUCUUCAACCUGUCCCUGGCCCAGUCAUUCCCACCUGCCUGAAGUCGGCCACUAUCAUCCCCAUACCAAAGACAACACCAACAUCUAGCCUCAGCGACUACCGCCCUGUGGCCCUCACACCCGUCACUAUGAAGUGCUUUGAGAGACUGGCUCUCCAGCACAUCAAGGACUGUCUCCCCCCCCCCCCCCAUACGUGACACCCACCAGUUUGCAUAAUGGGCAAACAGAUCCUCAGAGGACGCCAUCACCAUAGCGCUGCAUGCUGUGCUGUGUCACCUGGAACAACAGGAGAGCUAUGCCAGAAUGCUCUUUGUGGACUACAGCACAGCGUUCAACACCAUCAUCCUGGACAUCCUGAUCACUAAACUAGCCACCCUGGGCCUAGACUCGGCCCCCAUCUUUCCUCCACCCACACUCUGAGCACCGGUUCACCACAAGGUUGCAUGCUGAGCCCCCUCUGUACACCUAUGCCUGCAGUCCGGCCCACGGUAAAAACAUCAUUGUCAAUUGCUGAUGACACCACGAUGGUCAGAGGGAAACGAGGCAGCCUACAGGGCAGAGGUCCAGAGGCUAACCCCCUGGUGCUCUAACAAUAAUCUGGCACUGAACGUGAGGAAAACAAAAGAGAUCAUCGUGGACUUCAGAAGGAACCACUUGGACAGGGACCUACUGCUGGCCUUCUACCACUCAUCCAUUGAGAGCCUGCUGACUUUAGCCAUUACUUCAUCUCCCCCUGGUACAAGAGAUGCACCGAGGCGGACAGAGGGAGGCUCCAGAGGACAGUCAAAAAAGCACAGAGGAUUAUUGGCUGCCCUCUCCCCUCCCUGAUGGACAUCUACUCACCCUGGUGCCUCAGGAGUGCUCACAACAUCAUCCAGGACACUUCACACCCGAUUGCCCAGCUAUUUGACCUACUGUCCUCUGAGAGGCAUUACAGGUGCAUCGAAGCAAGGACUAACAGAGUGAAAAACUCUUUCUUCCCGAGAGCCAUCACCACUUUGAACUCCCAUAGACAACAACCCCAGCCUUCAAUAUGAGGCAGCAAGUGCAAUAUACUUACCACUACCACUGCUGCUGCAUUAUCAUCUGUGACUAUUGUAUUUCAUCUGUAAAUAUUAACCGUGACUUGCACUAUAAGAAUCCAGUAAUAUAUAUUUCUAUAUCCUUAAAAAACUAAUAGGAAAAAAAUAAAAAAACAACAACAAAAAAGAAAACUAAAGGGAAAAACAUAAAAGAAAAAACUAAAAAAUGAAAACAGAAACAAAAACUGAAAAGGAAAAACUAACGGGAAAAAACUAAGUGAAAAAACUCUAGAGAAAAAACUGAAGAAAGAAAAAACUGAAGAAAAAAACAAAGAGAAAAAAAUUGAAAAAGAAAAACUUAAAAGGAAAAAAAGACAUUAAAACUUAGAAGGAAAAACUUCGGAGGAAAAUUGAAUAGGAAAAACUUAAAAAAUAAUCACCAAAGAACAACUGAAAAGGGGGAAACAGAAAAAAAUGAUCAAGGUAAACAAAACUGAAAAGGGGAAACUAAAAAUGGAAAAACUGAAGAGGUCAAACUAAAAAGGAAAAACCGAAGAAAUAAAACUAAAAAGGAAAAACUGAAGAAAGGAACCUUAAAGGGAAAAAACUUGAGAAAAAAAAACUAAAAAAAGGAAAUUAAAAUUAAGAGGAAAAACUGUAGAAGAAAAUCGACAGAUAAAAAAGAGGGUGAACUAUAGAAGUAAGAGUAAAUUGGACAAAGUAAAGAUAAAAAACUGAUGAGAAAUAAUAAAAGGGGAAAAACUAGAAAGUAAACUUGAGGAAAAAAAUAAGAGGCAAAACUGACGGGCUGUUAAAACCUGAAGAAAAAAUGAAGAGAAAAAAAACAAAGAGGAAAAUUCAAAGAGGAAAAUCUAUGGAGAAAAAAAAAAGGAUAACUGAAAAGGAAAAACUAAAGAUGAGAAACUUAAGAAGGAAGAGUAAAGUGGGCAAACUGAAGAUGAAAACUGAAGAGGAAAAUUUAAGAAAAAACAUCUAAAGAGCAAAAACUUAUACAACAGAAGAAAAACUAAAUGGUACAAAAUCUGUGAUCAAAAAACUGAGAAGGAAAAACUGAAGAGAAAAAAGCUAUAGAGCAAAGUGAAGCCAAAAAACAAAGAGGAAAAUCCAAAAAAGGAAAACUGAAGAUAGGGAUAACUGUAGAAAGGGAUAACUAAGAAGUAAAAACAAAAAGAGAAAGCUAAACAAGGAAAACUUGAAGAGUAAAAAUGAAAAAGGAAAAAUAAAAUAAAAUCAAAUAAAGCAACCCGAUUGGAAGUGAAGACAAUACUCAGGCGCUGAGACUGAGGGCUGCUGGCUUCUUAAAGUGAUUUUUUUUCAGCUGAAAUAAUUUUUCGUUAGAAGGGACUUCUGGUAGUCGGAUUUAGUUGCUGGAAGCUUUUUUUUCGCUCCAUUCAUUCCGUAAGAAUUGAAUUUAUUAUUGAGCUAAAAACCAAAAUAAAACCUUUAUGUAUUAUUUAUAACUACUGUUUUGUUCUGAUUUAAUUCUGAAGUUUACAGUAAUAUGUAUAUAUAGACUGAUGUCCUGAUAGCCUGAUAAUUAUACAGCAAACAUGAUUUAUGACAUGGUGUGCUUCCUGGUGAGCCUCUUCAGGAUUGCUUGACUGUGGAAAAUGCAAAUAUACAAUAAUUGUAGAGACACAAGACACAUGAUCUGUUCAAGGUUCAGAAGAGCCAUUUAGGAAAAACACUUGAAUUGCGAUAUCAGAGGGACAGGAAGAGACUGAAUAGACUGGUCAGGAGGGCCAGUUCUGUCCUGGACUGUUCUUUGGACUCCCUGGAGGAGGUGGGUGAGAGGAGGAUGUUAACAAAGCUUGUAUCCAUCAUGGACAAUCCCUCUCACCUACUGCACCAGACUGUGG
rnacentral:lncRNA from 1 species